rnacentral:lncRNA from 1 species
UAUAUAUAUAAACUCACAAUGGCAUCAGAAGUAAAUUCUUGUGCAUGCUCAGGCUAAGUCAUUCUCGGCAAUGUUGCGGUACAACUUGAUAAGAGAGGUCCUAUAACUUCUAGAUGAUGCUCAAUGUGAUGGAGAAUACAUGAUCAUUGAUGACAUUCAAGAGAGAUUGCAGAAGAAUUCAUAAGUACUGUAAAUCAUGAAUAUGGUUAUGGCGUACAGAAUUAGCAUGGUGAAUGAAAUGGCAGUUAUUCACUUAAAAUAAGCCAAAUGGAAUGCAUGAGUAUCUUAAUUUAUUCGGUCAAGAAGUCUAUCUUGUGGCAAAACUUCAAUUACAAUCUUUAUACAAAUGAAUUGCAAUUAUGUUUAAGCUGUUAUCCAGCUUUGUCCAGGCAUCCAAUGAUUCUGACCCUUCAAAUAUCUACGACAUCCAACUAAGGGAUGCUGCACAGAUGGGUGAUAUUGAAGAUACUUAAAUAUAUCUGAAUUGUUCACUAGUGUAAAAUCACUCAUAAAUUUCUCUGUUUUUAUGACUCAGAAUCCGGUUAUUUAAUCUGUCAACCUACUUGACGUUAGCCUCAUGAUUAUCAGCUUUAAAGAUGUAGCAGAACAGAAUUUAAAACAUUCUAGCAUUCUCUCUAUUGCUUCAAUCUAGAUUAUAAGCAUCUCCCCACAAAGAGUUGGGGCAUUAAAACAGUUGAUCACCCAAAGUUCCCUAAGCAAAUGAUGUGAUAUGAACUGAAGGCCAUCUAACGAGAGAUGACCAAGGGUGUCAGGGAGAAAAGAUUGAGAAGAACAUACAAAGAGAACCUCCUAUCAGGGCACGUAGAUGAGGGUUCACUUUAAAAACUUUUGGCUAGGUGAUAAUCUUUUUUACAGCUUAGGAACUCGCUAUAUGGUUGGGAUGGGAGGCUUGGAGUGGCCGAACAGGGAAGCCGAGACCAUCGCUGGGGUUUUGCCUUGGGUAUUUCCUUUCUUUUUUUCCGUUCUCGGGAGUCUCGAUCGGGUGGGAGGCUUUGAGAGAAGAUAGGGAGAGAGAGAGGGUCGAAUGGAAGCUUACCUGAAAGAGACGAGGAUGUAGAUCGCCGUAGAGCAAAGCACCUGAGGGAGAUCGGAGAGGAAGAUCGACACCGGUGACGAUGGGGAGGAAGGCGACGGAAGACUGGUAGGAGGUGGCGCCCAGGAGCGCAGGAAGUCGGAGAUCUAUGGGAAGGACACCGAUGCCGGUGAUGAUGGGGAGGAAGGUGACAGUGGAGACCGGCGGGCGGUGGCGGCCUGAUAGAGAUCGGGAGAGGAAUUUCGUAAGUUUUUUUUGGGAAGAAAGUUACGGUUAGGGUUAGGGUUAGUGUUUGGGUUAGGGUUUGGAUUUGGUGGGAGGAAAAGAAAAGGGGACGAAAUAGGGUUGUGAUAGGGUUACGGUGUCCGCGCCAUAUCCACCCUUCUCCCCAGCCCGUGGCCCUUUUAUUUUUUUCACUGUUUGACACGUGGAGCUUUAGGAAAACCGGAUGAAGCCGCGUGGAAGCGCUGCGGUUUUGAAGAAAGCGUGGGAGCGCACUGGCCCAUCUCUUCGGCGAAACGCGACUGAGCGACAGAGCCCACUUCUUGCUCCGCCUCCGCCACGGCUGUCAUGGCCAUCGGCACGGCCACCCCGACCGACAGGCACGCGAUCCCUUACGUUGACGACAUGAUAGCAUUCCCCAAGAGCCUCAGGAUUCCGAGGGGUUUUCUCGACGAGAUGCGGUCAAUCCCGAUGAUGGGGCCGCGAAUGUCUAGGAGAUUUCCCAACGAGAUGCGGUCGAUGCGGACGAGGAGGCCGGAAUUCGUGUGCGGGUUCUAGAAGGAGAUCGGCAAGGUCGCUGAUGGUCGCGAGAUCGGGUCUCAAGAGGGCCCAGCAGCGCCUCAGCCCCUCCGACCUCUGAGACUUGGUCCGGAGAUGGCGAUCCUCGAUCUCUAUGCGAAGCCUCAUCGGUUGCGCCAUGGCGAGAGGGGGAAGAGGAAAGGGAUGGAAUGAGAGGAGAUGGGGGAGGAGAGGACACAGCGGUGGCGAGGCCUUUUUGUUGGCAUGCGCAUUGGCCUCAGGUUGCUGCUAAACGUGCGGGGUUAUAGCAUUCCAUGAGGUUUAGUAUAAGCCUCGGACGGCAUGUUAGUUUUUAAGUCCUCUCAUAAAUAAGUUUCAGUGAACCAGUUAAAUUUUGAAAGACAGAGAAGUAUGAUGGUACAAUUCAUCAAUUUAUAUUUAUUUUUUUUGAAAAAACAGAAUCUUGACUUCUGGAAUGGUUUGCCAAAUUGAAUCCCAC